UACGUAGGGUGCGAGCGUUGUCCGGAAUUAUUGGGCGUAAAGAGCUCGUAGGCGGUUUGUCGCGUCGACUGUGAAAACCUACAGCUUAACUGUGGGCUUGCAGUCGAUACGGGCAGACUUGAGUUCGGUAGGGGAGACUGGAAUUCCUGGUGUAGCGGUGAAAUGCGCAGAUAUCAGGAGGAACACCAGUGGCGAAGGCAGGCUCUGG
rnacentral:rRNA from 1 species